GCGGAAUUGUGGUUGAAGCGUGGUCGGGCUUUUUUUUCCUGAUGGGCUUCAGAUGUGAAAUGACACACAGAUGCAAGUGCCGAUGGCAUUUACAGCAGGAGAGAAAAAAAAAACUAGGCUCCUUUUUCCUUCUAGCCUACACACACUCCGUCUUUCUAGCUCGCGCGCGCACGCACACACACACACACACACACACUCUUACCGUACUUACUGUACACCACGCGCGAGCUCUUCCGGGUCGGUGCAGGCUGUGGAGUGAAAACACACACUUUAUCUGAAUGGGAGCGAUCACACGCGUCCGUAACGAACCUUUUUAACAUAAAGAGGGGAUGUGGACUUAUGGGCCUCAGAGAGGAAACAGGUACCGCCCGCGUGCUUUGGGUAGCACGCUUUUCUCCGUGAGUCGUAAUGACGCAGCCCGUUAGAUGCCAGACUGAUGCUCUAUAAUGCAUGCGAUGACUGACAGCGCCUGCCACGAUGAUCUGUUGCGGGUACGCAGUGGAAACUCUCUGAAGAGCAAACUGCUGUAUGUCUCCCAGCAUCUCCAUGUGACCUCUGACCUUCGGGGAAGCUGUGAGAGACCUUCAUCUUCUAAUCUGCAAAAACUAACACCACUCAAUAGCAUUCUGACACACAUGUAAAUAACGUUAAUGUAAUUUAAAGUGCUUGAUGAACUGAUUUUGCCUGACCAUCAUACACCACCUGACAUUCAAAUAUAUCAUAAUCUACAAUUCUUAUUUAACUCAUGCAGCUUUCAUGCAGCUACGUGAACUUGAGGAGGCUGGCACAAGUUGCUAACAAGUCAAUGAUAAACGUGGAGCUCUAAAAGUAGAGUUAGAUGCCAGUUGGAUUUAUAGUUUGUUUCUUAACUAACUGGCAUUAAUACUUUUAAGGGUGACAUAAGAACCAAUAAAUAUGACUAUAAAGAG